rnacentral:rRNA from 1 species
AGGAUGAACGCUGGCGGCGUGCCUAACACAUGCAAGUCGAACGUGAAGCCAUAGAUGAUUACUUCGGUUUGAUUUUUUGGUGGAAAGUGGCGAACGGGUGAGUAACACGUGGGUAAUCUGCCUCGAAGUGGGGGAUAACUAUUGGAAACGAUAGCUAAUACCGCAUAGUCUUUUUUACAUGGGAAUGUAGAAGAGUAAAGCUCCGGCGCUUCGAGAGGAGCCUGCGUCCAAUUAGCUAGUUGGUGGGGUAAAGGCCCACCAAGGCGACGAUUGGUAGCUGGUCUGAGAGGACGAUCAGUCACACGGGAACUGAGACACGGUCCCGACUCCUACGGGGGGCAGCAGUGAGGAAUAUUGCACAAUGGGGGAAACCCUGAUGCAGCAACGCCGCGUGGAGGAUGAAGGCUUCGGUCGUAAACUCCUUUUCUGGGGGAAGAGAACGGACGGUACCCCAGGAAUAAGUCACGGCUAACUACGUGCCAGCAGCCGCGGUAAUACGUAGGUGGCGAGCGUUAUCCGGAAUUACUGGGCGUAAAGCGCGCGCAGGCGGUUAGAUAAGUUUGGCGUGAAAGCUCCCGGCUUAACUGGGAGAGGUCGUUGAAAACUGUUUAACUUGAGGCAAUGAGAGGGGUACGGAAUUCCAGGUGUAGUGGUGGAAUGCGUAGAUAUCUGGAGGAACACCAGUGGCGAAAGCGGUACCCUGGCAUUGGCCUGACGCUCAUGUGCGAAAGCGUGGGGAGCGAACGGGAUUAGAUACCCCGGUAGUCCACGCUGUAAACGAUGAAUACUAGGUGUGGGUGGCGUCAAA